rnacentral:rRNA from 1 species
AUUGAACGCUGGCGGCAGGCCUAACACAUGCAAGUCGAGCGGAUGAAGGGAGCUUGCUCCUGGAUUCAGCGGCGGACGGGUGAGUAAUGCCUAGGAAUCUGCCUGGUAGUGGGGGAUAACGUCCGGAAACGGGCGCUAAUACCGCAUACGUCCUGAGGGAGAAAGUGGGGGAUCUUCGGACCUCACGCUAUCAGAUGAGCCUAGGUCGGAUUAGCUAGUUGGUGGGGUAAAGGCCUACCAAGGCGACGAUCCGUAACUGGUCUGAGAGGAUGAUCAGUCACACUGGAACUGAGACACGGUCCAGACUCCUACGGGAGGCAGCAGUGGGGAAUAUUGGACAAAGGGCGAAAGCCUGAUCCAGCCAUGCCGCGUGUGUGAAGAAGGUCUUCGGAUUGUAAAGCACUUUAAGUUGGGAGGAAGGGCAGUAAGUGAAUACCUUGCUGUUUUGACGUUACCAACAGAAUAAGCACCGGCUAACUUCGUG